AGUCGAACGGCAGCACGGACUUCGGUCUGGUGGCGAGUGGCGAACGGGUGAGUAAUGUAUCGGAACGUGCCUAGUAGCGGGGAUAAUCACGCGUGAAAGCGUAGCUAAUACCGGCACACUUCUUCGGGGGAAAGCGGGGACCUUCGGGCCUCGCACUAUUAGAGCGGCCGACGUGGAUUAGCUAGUUGGUGGGGUAACGGUUCACCAAGGCGACGAUCCGUAGCUGGUUUGCAGGACGACCAGCCACACUGGGACUGAGACACGGCCCAGACCUUACGGGAGGCAGCAGGUGGGGCCUGGGACAAUGGGGAAACCCCGGAUUCAGCCAUCCCGCGUGUGCGAUGAAGGCCUUCGGGUUGUAAAGCACUUUUGGUGUGGGAAAAGAAACGGCACGGAUAAUACCCCGUGCAACUGACGGUACCUGCAGAAUAAGCACCGGCUAACGUAUGUGCCAGCAGCCGCGGUAAUACGUAGGGUGCAAGCGUUAAUCGGAAUUACUGGGCGUAAAGCGUGGCGCAGGUUCGGAAAGAAAGAUGUGAAAUCCCAGAGCUUAACUUUGGAACUGCAUUUUUAACUACCGAGCUAGAGUGUGUCAGAGGGAGGUGGAAUUCCGCGUGUAGCAGUGAAAUGGCGUAGACAUGCGGGAGCAACACCGAUGGCGAAGGCAGCCUCUCCCGGGAUAACACUGACGCUCAUGCACGAAAGCGUGGGGAGCAAACAGGAUUAGAUACCCUGGUAGUCCACGCCUCAAACGAUGUCAGCUAGCUGUUGGGGCCUUCGGGCCCUGGUAGCGCAGCUAACGCGGGUGAAGUUGACCGCCUGGGGAGUACGGGUCAAAGAUUAAAACCUGUGCUGAAUGACGGGGAUCUGCACAAGCGGUGGAUGAUGUGGAUUAAUUGAUGCAACGCGAAAACCUUACUCUACCUUGACAUGUCUGGAAAUCUCGAAGAGAUUUGGGAGUGCUCGCAAGAGAACCGGAACACAGGUGCUGCAAUGGCUGUCGUCAGCUCGUGUCGAUGUUGGGUUAAGUCCCGCAACGAGCGGCAACCCUUGUCAUUAGUUGGCACAUGAAAGGGCACUCUUAAUGAGACUGCCGGUGACAAACCGGAGGAAGGUGGGGAUGACGUCAAGUCCUCAUGGCCCUGCGGUAAUACACGUCAUACAAUGACAGACAGAGGGUCGCUAACCCGCGAGGGGGAGCGCCAAUCCUAGAAACCCGAUUGUAGUCCGGAUCGCAGUCUGCAACUCGACUGCGUGAAGUCGGAAUCGCUAGUAAUCGCGGAUCAGCAUGUCGCGGUGAAGUACGUUCCCGGGUCUUGUACACCGCCCGUCACACCAUGGGAGUGGGUUUUACCAGAAGUAGUUAGCCUAACCGUGAAGAGGGCGAUUACCACGGUAGAUUCUACAGACUGGGGUGAAGUCGUAACAAGGUAA
rnacentral:rRNA from 1 species